UUCGUCCUGUAUUUUUCUGCCCCGUCCACAGCCAAGAUUGUAGAACCACAGCCACAACAAAAAGUGCCCACAUCAAGAUGAAAAGGGAAUCGUGUCACGCCGAACAAACACAGACCUCCGAACCUAACCAACGCUCAAGUGUUUCGCUGUGUCGUGCAAAGAGGAAGAAUUCGAACCAGUUUUCUCGUCACUCAAGUGGGCCGAACGAAAACGAAGCUAAAGGAAAACAGGCAAAACGGAAAGGAUAGACGAACGGUAAAGACGCUCAAGUACCCUUAUCGCUAGGUCGGAGGAACUUGAAAUCGAAGCCCUUGGCCGGGCGGGCUGCUGGGCGCAAAACGUUGGGAAAUAUGAUCAUCAUCAUGCAUAGCGAUUUCAGUUUCACCCGUAACGACACGACAGCCAGACAUGCCGGUUAGCUCGGCCGUUGUGUGGUGCAAUACGCGAUCCUUUUGGCCCCGGAACAGUGUUGCGCGAGAUGGAAAAUAAAUCACCAGCAGAAUAACAAACCUCCGUUGCCGGUUACAGCGUGAUCGCGAUCCUUUUUCAGCUAUGGAAAGCGUCUGCUCUGGGUUCUGUUCCGUGAUAAUUGGUUUCACAGACACGCCAGCAGAAACUGCGUACCAGGCACUGACUGCAGUACUGUAGAGACUGUGAGAAUCGGAACGCAGAACGAAGUCAACUUAUACGGGAAAGGAGGUAUUAGUAACACUAACUCAGAUGACGCCUCAUAUCCAGCGUGGUUGUGUCCAAGUCGUUGUGCUUUAAUAAUUUCGACGACGCUCCUGCAACCUAUACCGACAAAUCUAACGGAUAUAACGCGCUGUUUUAUAUGAUUCCAUUCAGUAUCAACACCGUGAUCAUGAAUAACUUUAUCAAUUCAAUUGACGUUAUUAAAAUUAGACUUCCAAGUUUCCAUUUAAGCGGUUGUAACAUGGUGAUGUAUGAAAGAUGUAUUGAUUACGGCGACGGCGAAUCAAUCCUUUUGGCUAUAAACAACUAUCGGCCGUUACGUAGGAUCUCUCUGUGUAGCAGGCACGCUGUUGUACCAUUGCUCGGCUGAAGAGCUCAAAGCGUAUAAUCCUCGGAAGCCCAGUAGCCAAUAGUUUUAUUUUGGAUCCCGGGUCAUUCGGGAAUCAACGGAAACGAAAAAGCCGACCGGCUGGCCAACGAAGAUCGGCUCCGUCCGGUCGAAGAACUACACAGCACUCUUUAACUCCGAAACGCCAUCCGCUUCACUAACGCAAUAGUCGCUCAACACUGGAACACCACCUGGCACAACCUAGACCUCUUCGACAAAACUUCGCUCAAUCAAGCACAACACCGCACCCUGGGACAAUCCCGAUGCCAGCCAAAUGCAACGUGUCCUUUCCCGCCUACGCAUCGAUCAUACCCGUUUGACACACUCCUACCUUCUCGAAAGAUCCAGUCCGCCACUUUGGAGCUUCUGUGGCGUCUGCCAACUGUAUAUCAACCUAGCCAUCACACUAUAACCCGACAAACAACAGCAGGACCACCACAUUCGAUUAAGGCAUCAGCAACCGGUACCGAGAGCUAUAAAUUCAUAGCGCAAUAGUUUUUACAUUACACGUACCAUACCAGUUAAGCAAUAGUUAAGCCAUACAAUCAAUAGUUUUACCACACAUGUAACAAUAGACAGAAAAGAGGUGAAUGAAGACUCAAAGACCCAAAGCCUCUAUAAGCAAACGAAAAAAAGCCCAGUAGCAACGUAGAGCAAACCUAUACCUAGAUAGACUCCAGACGCGUCGUUGAUCUAGCAUCCACAGCUGAUCUAACAAACGAGCUGUAGAGCAUUUGACCCGACGUUGGGUUUCACAGAUCCCGCUCUAGAUGCUUGACCUGUAUGCUCCAGAUAGUCGUGGAAGCUCAAGUUAUCAUCAAAGAGCACUCCAUGGUGAACGCUACGUCAGUUUACGUUCGUGGACAGUACUAUUCAGCUCAUAAACAUACAGCAGGGAGUCACUCUUUCUGGAGAAAGUUAUUGCUUCGAACUUCAUGACGCGUAACACAAGGCUAUUUGCAGAACAUCAAGACUGAACUUUCUCCUAUUAGUUGUGAAUCAGUAAAACAAAAAUAGUGUCAUGAUUGUUUAUAAGAGAGAUACGGCUCGAGAAAAUUCUCGUAAGGUCACAAAGGUAGAACUGGUAGAGUCGUGGUCCAAGGAUACUAUCUUGUUACAGCCCUGAACAAGCAUUAAUGCUGCGCGAAGAGUGGGGACUCACAUUCACGCAAUAUUUUCGAUUGCUUGCUGCGAGCACGUGAAAUUUGUGAAGUUUGAUUUGUAAAAAGCGGCUUUGGAAUCCGUGUUUUCAGCUUCGAUCAAACUGUAGUCGAAAAUCUACAACUUGAGAUAGAUAAGACAACUUCAAAUUAGAACCUAUACGUUUGGCCGUGGCAAUCGUGUUGAGAAAUCAAAAGAGCGAUCAAACUAGUUGAGAGCUGAAAGCGAUCCAAAUAGUUUAAACACAUAGCUUAAAAUUGAUCAAGAGCCCAUGUAUAAGUUCUGCAUCGAUCAGUUCUUAAUUGAGAAUUACAAGGUGGUAGCACCUAGGUGGAAGUUUAGUAUAGUAUCUCGGGUACAUCACGGGAUGGGUUGUCCGGUGCCAUUUUCAUGGCUUGAUAAGCUCAUCAAAGUCAGCUUUGUCUAAUUCACUGUAUAAUGUUAAGAUCUUCGUACAGUGCGUAGGGCUCAUAAUUGCAGCGGACUGAAAAUGCUUCCAACUUUCUUUUACAGCGAUAUAUAGAGUCCAUGUGUCAGUGGAGUAGGUGCGCACUAUAAAAUGACAUUGGAAAUAUUGUAUAACGUGGUUGGUAGCGAGUACGAGCUGCCUAUGACAUCACACAAAUCAUUAUUCCUGCCAUACGGUACACGAAAUGUAUACUUCAUCGUUUCAGUGUGCGUAAAUAAAAAACAAAUCAAAUCCAGCAUGUACUGCUGUUAAUUGUACUUUUUAUCGCCCAGCUUACCUACCACUGACAGUCGGGUGGACGAAAUCUACCUGCGCAUCCACUGUAUGUCACUUUAAAUACUAUGCUAAUUAUUUUCCAAUGUUUCAACAUGAGCCAACGUGAAUCUUCAUGCCAGAUUGAUACCGCAAAUGAUAUACCGCAGAUAGCGGUGGAGAAAAAAACGGACGCACGCACAUAUAUUUCACCAGCUCCAGCCAGUUUUACACACCGCAGCCUAGAGCUGGGAACUGGGAAAUCCUCGGUCGAAAAAAAAACAAACCAACCAAAGUAGAGCGGAAAAAUAACCGAACACCGAUCAACUGGUCAACCAAAUGUGGCAUGUGGUAAUGUGGCAAACAGGAAAAUCAAAAGCCAAGCACAAGAGUCCACGCCGCACAUAGGUAAAACACAAAACUUGGACACACUGGCGGAAGCAAAAAAAAAAAGCGAAAACAGUAGGAAAAAAA